UACGUAGGGUGCAAGCGUUAAUCGGAAUUACUGGGCGUAAUGCGUGCGCAGGCGGUUUUGUAAGUCUGACGUGAAAUCCCCGGGCUCAACCUGGGAAUUGCGUUGGAGACUGCAAGGCUAGAAUCUGGCAGAGGGGGGUAGAAUUCCACGUGUAGCAGUGAAAUGCGUAGAGAUGUGGAGGAACACCGAUGGCGAAGGCAGCCCCCUGGGUCAAGAUUGACGCUCAUGCACGAAAGCGUGGGGAGCAAACAGG
rnacentral:rRNA from 1 species